GGGUUGUGAGGUUAAGCGACUAAGCGUACACGGUGGAUGCCCUGGCAGUCAGAGGCGAUGAAGGACGUGCUAAUCUGCGAUAAGCGUCGGUAAGGUGAUAUGAACCGUUAUAACCGGCGAUUUCCGAAUGGGGAAACCCAGUGUGUUUCGACACACUAUCAUUAACUGAAUCCAUAGGUUAAUGAGGCGAACCGGGGGAACUGAAACAUCUAAGUACCCCGAGGAAAAGAAAUCAACCGAGAUUCCCCCAGUAGCGGCGAGCGAACGGGGAGCAGCCCAGAGCCUGAAUCAGUGUGUGUGUUAGUGGAAGCGUCUGGAAAGGCGCGCGAUACAGGGUGACAGCCCCGUACACAAAAAUGCACAUGCUGUGAGCUCGAUGAGUAGGGCGGGACACGUGGUAUCCUGUCUGAAUAUGGGGGGACCAUCCUCCAAGGCUAAAUACUCCUGACUGACCGAUAGUGAACCAGUACCGUGAGGGAAAGGCGAAAAGAACCCCGGCGAGGGGAGUGAAAAAGAACCUGAAACCGUGUACGUACAAGCAGUGGGAGCACGCUUAGGCGUGUGACUGCGUACCUUUUGUAUAAUGGGUCAGCGACUUAUAUUCUGUAGCAAGGUUAACCGAAUAGGGGAGCCGAAGGGAAACCGAGUCU
rnacentral:rRNA from 1 species